GACUUCUUCAAUGACAUGCUUGGAGAAGAAAGAGGACCCUCAAAAGAUGAUUGUUCCUCAGCUGAGGGACUGAUGCCCUACUCUGGACAGAGGCAUCAAAGCAAGAGAGCUGGACUGACUCUUGCCAGCCCAGCCAUUGCAGGAAGGUCCUCACACAGAGGAGGGCUGAAGUGAAUGGAAAAUAUUUCUUUAGCAGUCCUCUAAAGUGUUGUUACCUUCUGGCCAGGAAGACGAAGGGUGCAGCUGGGGAAGGUGAGACUCCCACCGAUAAAGCAGGGCCCAAAGGCAGAGCUGAGAUGCUAACUCAAGGUCCAGUCCUCUCGCCUCCACACCUUGAUUCUCAAGCUUUCUUAAGGACUGAAAUCACACAGUGACACAGAGUUGAUUGCUGCCUGUCAGGAAUACCCACUCUUCCAAGGACAUACAAACAUCAAGAAUUCACCAUGAUCAGUCUUUGGCAUUUGAGAGUGCUACUGACCCCUUUUAUCAAUUAUCUGCUAGCAAUAAUUAAUAAAAAUGAUUAAUUA